rnacentral:rRNA from 1 species
UACGUAGGGGGCGAGCGUUGUCCGGAAUCAUUGGGCGUAAAGCGCGUGUAGGCGGCCCGGCAAGUCUGGUGUGAAAUCUUGGGGCUCAACCCCAAGCGGUCACUGGAUACUGUCGGGCUUGAGUACGGAAGAGGAGAGUGGAAUUCCUGGUGUAGCGGUGGAAUGCGCAGAUAUCAGGAGGAACACCUAUGGCGAAGGCAGUGGUCUGGGCCGAUACUGACGCUGAGGAGCGAAAGCGUGGGGAGCGAACAGG